GUGCUGAGAUGCUGGUUGUAGAGUUUCAUUGCAAUCAAUACCUGACCCGAAGAUGGAGUUGCAACGAGGAAAGCUGCUACCUCCCAACUGUAACUCAUUGAUCUUCAGAGGGAGAAUGGUUAGACCAACACCAUGUAAGGAGUGUCAGAUACUUUCAUGCUGGCUUCUAUAACAUCAACAACGUUAUCUAUAUGGCAUGGUUACCUGAUAAUACAGGCAAUAACUGAGACAGCAGGAGAGGAAAUGGAAUUACUGGAAGAGGAAGAAAUUGAUACAGUGCUUAGUCAGAGCUGAAGGAGAUUGAAAAGAGAAAACCACAGAAUGGUGGCUGCUGAAAGGAAACCUGUGCGUCUUGCACAUUCAGCUCAUCAGUCUAAAAAUGUCCAAAAGAAGUCAACAGCAGACCAAGUGACAUGAAAUUGCCUUAUUUUGGUAGUAUACAUAUCAAAUUGAAAUAAUGCUGACCUUGUAUUUUCCAUUUCUGUAAA